rnacentral:rRNA from 1 species
CCUACGGGUGGCAGCAGUGGGGAAUAUUGCACAAUGGGGGAAACCCUGAUGCAGCGACGCCGCGUGAGUGAAGAAGUAAUUCGUUACGUAAAGCUCUGUCAGCAGGGAAGAAAGAAAUGACGGUACCUGACCAAGACGCCCCGGCUAACUACGUGCCCGCAGCCGCGGUAAUACGUAGGGAGCAAGCGUUAGCCGGAAUUACUGGGUGUAAAGGGAGCGUAGACGGGUAAGUAAGUCUGGAGUGAAAGGCCGGGGCCCAACCCCGGGACUGCUCUGGAAACUAGUGAACUGGAGUGCAGGAGAGGUAAGCGGAAUUCCUAGAGUAGCGGUGAAAUGCGUAGAUAUUAGGAGGAACACCAGGGGCGAAGGCGGCUUACUGGACUGUAACUGACGUUGAGGCUCGAAAGCGUGGGGAGCAAACAGGAUUAGAUACCCUUGUAGUC